GUGCAAUUAGAGAAGGGAUGAAUCCCCCCAUCUACCAGGAGGUAUUUGGUACCUGAGAAGAGUUGCCAUAGGAUGUACAGAUGGAUGAAAAACUGGCUGCUGUAAAUCAGGCAGGUCAUUUGUCAGCUUUGACGAGUUGUUAGAAGAACUAGGGGUAGAAGAUAUGUCAGUCGCUGGUACAGUUCUCCCCUUACCACCCUGCUGAGCUGGACACAGAAGAGGCUGCAGUCGUUAAAGAGCUCAGCCUUCUGCCCAGCACAGUAUGCAGGCCUCCUUGUGACUGAGUGGGACAUCUGAAGAGGACAUUGCUUCACUAGUGCCAACAACCAAGAGCUGGUUCUGCUCCACAUCCUCGGUGAACUUUCCGUGCUUCCCCCAGAGCCCCUCCUCAAGCCACCCACAUCUACAGUUCCAGGACAAAACAGAGAAAGAAAAAGGAGACGGACAG
rnacentral:lncRNA from 1 species